rnacentral:rRNA from 1 species
AUUGAACGCUGGCGGCAGGCUUAACACAUGCAAGUCGAGCGGGGGAAGGUAGCUUGCUACCGGACCUAGCGGCGGACGGGUGAGUAAUGCUUAGGAAUCUGCCUAUUAGUGGGGGACAACAUCUCGAAAGGGAUGCUAAUACCGCAUACGUCCUACGGGAGAAAGCAGGGGAUAUUCGGACCUUGCGCUAAUAGAUGAGCCUAAGUCGGAUUAGCUAGUUGGUGGGGUAAAGGCCUACCAAGGCGACGAUCUGUAGCGGGUCUGAGAGGAUGAACCGCCACACUGGGACUGAGACACGGCCCAGACUCCUACGGGAGGCAGCAGUGGGGAAUAUUGGACAAUGGGGGGAACCCUGAUCAAGCCAUGCCGCGUGUGUGAAGAAGGCCUUAUGGUUGUAAAGCACUUUAAGCGAGGAGGAGGCUACUUUAGUUAAUACCUAGAGAUAGUGGACGUUACUCGCAGAAUAAGCACCGGCUAACUCUGUGCCAGCCGCCGCGGUAA